GUUAAAAAGCUCUAGUUGGAUUUUGGUGUUUGACAAACGGUCGGCCUUACGGUUUGUACUGUUUGUUGGCACUUCUUUUCUGGGGAACUCACUGUUCUUAAUUGAAGGGUGUUGUAACGCAGAUCGUUUACUUUGAAAAAAUUAGAGUGUUCAAAGCAGGCCAACGCAUUGAAUACAUUAGCAUGGAAUAAUGGAAUAGGACUUUGGUCUUAUUUUGUUGGUUUCUAAGGCCGAGGUAAUGAUUAAUAGGGAUAGUUGGGGGCGUUUAUAUUCCGUUGUCAGAGGUGAAAUUCUUGGAUUUACGGAAGAUAAACUACUGCGAAAGCAUUCGCCAAGGAUGUUUUCAUUAAUCAAGAACGAAAGUUGGGGGCUCGAAGAUGAUUAGAUACCAUCCUAGUCUCAACCAUAAACGAUGCCGACUAGGGAUUGGUGGAUGUUAAUUGAUGACUUCACCAGCACCUUAUGAGAAAUCAAAGUUUUUUGGGUUCCGGGGGGGAGUAUGGUCGCAAGGCUGAAACUUAAAAGAAUUGACGGAAGGGCACCACCAAGCGUGGAGCCUGCGGCUAAAUUUGACUCAACAC
rnacentral:rRNA from 1 species